UACGUAGGGGGCAAGCGUUAUCCGGAUUCAUUGGGCGUAAAGCGCGCGUAGGCGGUCUGUUAGGUCAGGAGUUAAAUCUGGGGGCUCAACCCCUAUCCGCUCCUGAUACCGGCAGGCUUGAGUCUGGUAGGGGAAGAUGGAAUUCCAAGUGUAGCGGUGAAAUGCGCAGAUAUUUGGAAGAACACCGGUGGCGAAGGCGGUCUUCUGGGCCAUGACUGACGCUGAGGCGCGAAAGCUAGGGGAGCGAACAGG
rnacentral:rRNA from 1 species